GAUGAACGCUGGCGGCGUGCCUAAUACAUGCAAGUCGAGCGAACAGACGAGGAGCUUGCUCCUCUGACGUUAGCGGCGGACGGGUGAGUAACACGUGGAUAACCUACCUAUAAGACUGGGAUAACUUCGGGAAACCGGAGCUAAUACCGGAUAAUAUAUUGAACCGCAUGGUUCAAUAGUGAAAGACGGUUUUGCUGUCACUUAUAGAUGGAUCCGCGCCGCAUUAGCUAGUUGGUAAGGUAACGGCUUACCAAGGCAACGAUGCGUAGCCGACCUGAGAGGGGGAUCGGCCACACUGGAACUGAGACACGGUCCAGACUCCUACGGGAGGCAGCAGUAGGGAAUCUUCCGCAAGGGGCGAAAGCCUGACGGAGCAACGCCGCGUGAGUGAUGAAGGUCUUCGGAUCGUAAAACUCUGUUAUUAGGGAAGAACAAAUGUGUAAGUAACUAUGCACGUCUUGACGGUACCUAAUCAGAAAGCCACGGCUAACUACGUG
rnacentral:rRNA from 1 species